rnacentral:rRNA from 1 species
AUACGUAGGGUGCGAGCGUUAAUCGGAAUUACUGGGCGUAAAGCGUGCGCAGGCGGUUUUGUAAGACAGUGGUGAAAUCCCCGGGCUCAACCUGGGAACUGCCAUUGUGACUGCAAGGCUGGAGUGCGGCAGAGGGGGAUGGAAUUUCGCGUGUGGCAGUGAAAUGCGUAGAUAUGCGGAGGAACACCGAUGGCGAAGGCAAUCCCCUGGGCCUGCACUGACGCUCAUGCACGAAAGCGUGGGGAGCAAACAGGAUUAGAUACCCUGGUAGUCCACGCCCUAAACGAUGUCAACUGGUUGUUGAGAAUUUAUUUUCUCAGUAACGAAGCUAACGCGUGAAGUUGACCGCCUGGGGAGUACGGCCGCAAGGUUAAAACUCAAAUGAAUUGACGGGG